UUUUUUAUGACUCUACAUGGUCUGAUAUUGUGAAGAGUAAUGAGAAGCGCAGCAGAGGUGAACAAGUCUGUCAGCAAUAAACUACUACCACUUCCAACAAUUUCUUACUUGUUUUGGAGAAAGAAAAUUGAGCCCCCGUACUUUUCUCCUUCUCUCAACAGAACCAUCUAGUACCCUUAAGACCCUGCCGAACAGAGUCAGGUGAAGAUUUCUCGCGAGGUACAUAUGUCUAGUCAUAAUACACCUGUCCUAGGAUAGGGUUAAAAAGAUGCUCUCCUAGAUCAAUGGGCAAAAGCUCACUAAAUCUUGACUUUCAGUAGAAAUAAAGACCAUAUAAGCGCAGCGUGUCAAUCCUUCUAUUACAGAGGGUCUUUGAUAAGAGCAAAAAGGUCACUACAGGAACAGAUGGAUUAUGGCAGUUAGGCGUCCAUAGCAACUGUGCUUUUUGAACCACCAAUGUCUGCUUCUUCCAUCAUUGCAAAGCAGAACUGGUAAGAACCACAAUGUUCCUGUGCUCGCAAGAAGUAUUAGAUUCAUUCAAAGUGGUAAGUU
rnacentral:ncRNA from 1 species